UGACCAAGUCAUGCAUAAUGAUCAUGAGUUCUAUAUAUUCACAUAAAUAACUCAGACUGAGUACUAUAUACUAGGGUUAAUCAUCUUGCUCUCUUUCCUUUAUUUGUAGUUUACACCAUUGACAGAUCUUGAUUUUCUGCUAGGCAGCCAUGAGUAGAGGUGGAAGCUUCGGCGGAGGGCAGAGUUCCUUAGGGUACCUUUUUGGGUCUGAUGAGCAACCAAAUGCACCCCCGCCGUCCCUGAUUGUCAACCUACCCCCAUACGGUGUUGAUACUAUCUCGGCGGAGAAGCCUCGACAAAAUCCUUCUUUUGAGAAGCAAAAGGAGGUCUCAAACAACUAUCACCGAGCUCAAGGACAGAAUUCUGGCAACUUCAUUACUGAUCGUCCGUCUACAAAAGUCAAGUCGGUGCCUGGAGGAGAUUCAUCUCUUGGAUACCUCUUUGGAGAUAAGUAAUGUUUCUUAAUUUCUCCAUAUAAAAUAAGGGAUUUUGAGGCUAAAUAGUAAAAAUAAGGGAUUAUCAGCUCAUCCCAUCAUUGUUGAUGAAUUUGUAAGCGUAGAAUAUGGGUCUGUCGUAAAUUGUAGUUAUGCAAAUUAGACAGAUUAUAUUAUGUGUGGUUUGUAUAUGAUAAGAGAAGUUGGCUGUUUCUGUUCUUUCCUUUUGAACCCAAGAAUCUUGUUUCAAAUGAGCCAAAAAUAAGGCAUCUUUUG
rnacentral:misc_RNA from 1 species